rnacentral:rRNA from 1 species
GACGAACGCUGGCGGCGUGCUUAACACAUGCAAGUCGAACGGAAAGGCGCUGCUCUUGUGGGGCGCUCGAUAGGCGAACGGGGGAGUAAAACGUGUGUAAACCGCCCCUGACUGUGGGAUAACAUCAGGAAACUGGGGCGCAUACCGGAGAGGAUCUUCUGCAGCACAGGGGGCGUUGGAAAGUUUCGGCGGUUGUGGCUGGACUCGCGGCUUAUCAGCUUGAUGGUCGGGUAGUUGCGUACGAGGGCUAUGACGGGUAGCCGGCCUGAGAGGGUGGACGGCCACAUUGGGCCUGCGAUACGGCCCAGAAUCGUACGGGAGGCAGCAGUGGGGAAUCUUGCACAGUGGGCGGACGCCUGAUGCAGCAACGCCGCGUGCGGGAUGCCGGCCUUCGGGUUGUAAACCGAUUUCGCAUGUGACGAAGCGUGCGUGACGGUAAUGAGUAAAGAAGCACCGGCUAACUACGUG